CUCGAAUUCCAGAGGCAGGUUCCAGAGCCUGUGAGGAAGGAUUUUGCUGAGUUUGGAAAAGAGAAAGACAGCUGCUCCUCAAGAGCCCGGCCGACUCGCCUGUGCUCCCAGCCCCAGGCCCCCGGCUUGGAGAAUGGGCCUUGGCAACGCAAUGCUGGCUGGAAAUACUCAGGCGCCUGCCCAGGCAUUUUGCUUUCUUUUCCCCAGGAUUGGAGGAGGUCAUAAUAGAGGUAUGCUGGAUCCAGCCUGCACAGGCUCACAAGAGCCAGUUGUGAGCAUCUCUUCUCAACACUGCAUUCACUGACAUUACAUUGGUUACAGAAAUUUGGAGUUCUGAGCUAUCAGCCUGAGAGUCAUGAGCCACAGUGGAGAAAGACAAGCCCAUAGAGUAUGCAGCAUAUAGGACCUAAAGAGAAACCUGGCAAAAGGUAAAUUUUCUGUUAAUGAUAUGUGUCGAGGACUUUAAGAUGAUCAAUAUUCAAACAAGGAAUCUUCCCGAUUUCUCUUAUCCUGUGAUCGUUUUCUGUUACAACCAAAUACUCAGAACAAGUCAGUUCAUAUGAGAGCCCUGUUAGGAAUACCUUCGUGAAUGAAGGGAGAAGUACUGAUGUGCACGUGGGGGCAAGUGUACAGGGGCAUCCAGUGACACUGGGGGUCCUUCCAGGAGCAGGCGAAGGGGUGGAGGUGGCCCCUCCGUUUGAAAAUGUUCUAAAAUAUCAGGGAGGAAGUUGGCUUUUUUGUACUCAUCAGCUGUUAGAAUAUAAAUCUGUCUCCCAGGUACCAUUCUUCAUUCAUUGACAAGGAUAUGUUUUCUUCUUCCCUUGUAAAAUUUCUGAUUCGGAAAUGGGUAUGUAACCAGAGGAGGGCCUUCCAGGAACUUCUUUACCAGCGCAUUUGGGUCAAACAGUCCUUCCAUUGCUGUUGUCAUGUCAGGUUAGCGGUUGCAGGCUUCCACUGGAACAGAGCUUUCACUGGUAUAUUUGCUCCUAGAUACAUGUGCCUUCAUCAAAUUCUAUCCCCCAUGACAGUGUCCCUCCAGCUUACAUUACCAACAAUCAUGUACACGAACAAGUGUGGGAAAGACUGCGGAUUCAUGCAGUCGUCUUCUAAUUUCUCUGCUGAACUGCUAGGAUGGUGCUCACUGGAUGAAGAAUCACAGGCUCUGUGGCAUUUCCAAGUGAAGAUUUUGAAUUAUCCUGGAUGUAUUAAAUUAAAGGAACCUAAAUGUUCCCAUGUAGAUGCACAGUAGUCAAUUGGAUGUGUGUGGAUAAAAUUGUAACAUAUCCAGACUUUGAACCUUAACAUUUUUGAUAGACAAUUUCAAUUUGUUCCCCAAAAGUUGUACCGGUAACUCAUCAUACCUUAAACCUCCAUCAGCAGAGUUCAUCAUUAGAAAAAAAAACCUCUAUUGUGUGAUAAAUGAAAAGGGAUAUUUCACUUGUUUUAUUUUAUUCAUAUGCUUUUUUUUUAAAAAAAGAAAGAAAAUGUUAUCUUAGAGUUAUUGGUUAUUUGUUCUCCCUCUUAAAUGUUUGUAUGAUUUUUUCAUAUUCUUUGCCCAUUUCCAUUAGAAAUAUGAUAUUUUUCUUCUUAUUUAAAUAAAAUUAUUAUUAGUAUAAGGAUAUUAUUCCUUGGUCUUAUUGGAAGUAUAUAUUUAUUGUUUGCUUUUGAAUAUUUAAUGUUACAAUUUGUUUUGAGGUACAGAACUUUAAGAUAUUCUAAGUUAGCAGCCUGUUACUUUGUGAUUUACUUGCUUUGAAAUUUCUUUUCUAUCUAGAGAUGAGGUGUGGUUGCUUUUUGUUUAUUUUUGUUAAUAAUUCAACAUCUCUUUCCUUAUGCUUCCUUUGGGUUUGUUCUGUCCUUUUACUAACUUUUUAGAGAUGGAUACCUAUCUCAUUAUUUUCCACUUACUUCUUUUCUUCAAUGAGUAUUUACACUAUACAUUUCUCUUGAACAUCUUUAGUUGCAUCUCAAAAGUUUUGACAGGUCAUAUUUUAUUAGUUAUGUAAGUUGAUAUAUUAAAAUUUUUGCGUUAUGCAUUAUUUCUAUCCCUGAGUUAUUUACACAUUUCCAUAUGUAAAAUAUUUUAAAAAUAAGUGUCUUUAUGAAUUUCUAAUUUAAUGUUAUAUGCUCGGACACCAAGGUCCAAAUGCUUUUUGGCCUACUAUGAGAUAAUUUUUGUAAAAAUGUUUGAGAACAAUAUAUAUCAUCUGCUUGUUUAAUAUGAAAUUUUACGUAUAUCCAUUAAAUCAUUCUUGUUAAUUUUGUUGUUUAAAUUUUAAGUAACUUUACUAAGGUUCUGUCUCCUACACCAAGUAAAAAUUGGCAGAUGUGCAUAAAUUUCCCACUAUGAAGUUGAGUUUGUCACUUUAACUGUAAUAACAUAUUUCUCUACAUGUUAAGGUUGAUAUUAGAUGCACACUGGUCUAGAAUUAUUAUAUCUUCUUUUUAGUAGAAUUUUAUCAUCAUGUAGUUAUCCUUUCUGAAUUUUGCCCUUAGUGUUUUUUGUCUUGAAGUCUAAUUAUUUUCUGAUAUUAAUUUAGUUUUACUAGCUUUCGUGUGUUUAUUAGCUUAGUAUUUUUCUGUUAUACAUCUUUCAAAUUUUUUGUCAUUAUUUUAGAUUUGUCUCUGGAUAGUUAAGCAAAACAAUUUAACAAUGUUUUUCUUUUAACUUUCAAG